rnacentral:rRNA from 1 species
UUGCCAUUAGUUGCUACAUUCAGCUGAGCACUCUAAUGGGACUGCCGGUGACAAACCGGAGGAAGGUGGGGAUGACGUCAAGUCCUCAUGGCCCUUAUGGGUAGGGCUACACACGUGCUACAAUGGUCGGUACAAAGGGUUGCCAAGCCGCGAGGUGGAGCUAAUCCCAUAAAACCGAUCGUAGUCCGGAUCGCAGUCUGCAACUCGACUGCGUGAAGUCGGAAUCGCUAGUAAUCGUGAAUCAGAACGUCACGGUGAAUACGUUCCCGGGCCUUGUACACACCGCCAUCGGUGGGGAAUUUUGGACAAUGGGCGCAAGCCUGAUCCAGCCAUGCCGCGUGAGUGAAGAAGGCCUUCGGGUUGUAAAGCUCUUUCGGCCGGGAAGAAAUCGGUCUCUCGAAUAAAGGGAUCGGAUGACGGUACCGGAGUAAGAAGCACCGGCUAACUACGUGCCAGCAGCCGCGGUAAUACGUAGGGUGCGAGCGUUAAUCGGAAUUACUGGGCGUAAAGCGUGCGCAGGCGGUUUGCUAAGACAGGUGUGAAAUCCCCGGGCUUAACCUGGGAACUGCGCUUGUGACUGGCAGGCUGGAGUACGGUAGAGGGGGGUGGAAUUCCUGGUGUAGCAGUGAAAUGCGUAGAGAUCAGGAGGAACACCGAUGGCGAAGGCAGCCCCCUGGGCCUGUACUGACGCUCAUGCACGAAAGCGUGGGGAGCAAACAGGAGUAGAUACCCUGGUAGUCCACGCCCUAAACGAUGUCGACUAG